rnacentral:rRNA from 1 species
UACGUAGGGACCAAGCGUUGUUCGGAUUUACUGGGCGUAAAGGGCGCGUAGGCGGCAAUUCAAGUCAUCUGUGAAAUCUCCGGGCUUAACUCGGAACGGUCAAGUGAUACUGCUGUGCUAGAGUGCAGAAGGGGCAAUCGGAAUUCUUGGUGUAGCGGUGAAAUGCGUAGAUAUCAAGAGGAACACCUGAGGUGAAGACGGGUUGCUGGGCUGACACUGACGCUGAGGCGCGAAAGCUAGGGUAGCAAACGGG